ACAGACCGGACCUCUCGCGCCGCACCCCCGCUUCCUGCAGGCAUUCGUCACAGCGUUCAGCACUGCUUGGCCUAGUACUCGAUCCAGCUUUCAGGCCAUGCGCAAAUGCUCUGCUCCCAGCCAACUUGAAUUCGUUUCAAGGAAGAUUGCACAAGAAUUCAGCUCCACUGCUCCGAGCCAGGCCUGCUGGGCUGGCUGUUUUGUUCUCUCGGGCCCCAGUCCUGCCGAAGGACCUGCUGGCACAGACCCCUGGAGCAUCCCUAUUUUGAAGUAAUUUGCAGUGACUUAAAAUCCCUUGAGAAAACCCUGUUUUUCUCAGAGGUGGGAUUCAUCUCAGCUAGCCACAGAAGCCUGGAAGUUACAUGAGCGAUGCAAGCUAAUCAUUCUGGCUCUUCUGAUGGGGGAUGAAGAGGAGGCAUCUUGCAAAGUGUGACUCAGGUAAGGUAAGUGGGACAGAUCUGCUGAAAGUGCCC
rnacentral:lncRNA from 1 species